UACGUAGGCAGCGAGCGUUGUUCGGAGUUACUGGGCGUAAAGGGUGUGUAGGCGGUCCUGUAAGUCUGGUGUGAAAUCUCCCGGCUCAACUGGGAGGGUGCGCCGGAAACUGCAGGGCUAGAGUGCGGGAUGCGGAAUUCCAGAUGUAGCGGUGAAAUGCGUAGAUAUCUGGAGGAACACCGGUGGCGAAGGCGGCAUCCUGGACCGGCAUUGACGCCUG
rnacentral:rRNA from 1 species